ACGGGAGGCAGCAGUGAGGAAUAUUGGUCAAUGGACGAGAGUCUGAACCAGCCAAGUAGCGUGCAGGAUGACGGCCCUCCGGGUUGUAAACUGCUUUUAGUUGGGAAUAAAAGAAGCGACGUGUCGCUUAUUGUAUGUACCAUCAGAAAAAGGACCGGCUAAUUCCGUGCCAGCAGCCGCGGUAAUACGGAAGGUCCGGGCGUUAUCCGGAUUUAUUGGGUUUAAAGGGAGCGUAGGCGGGCUUUUAAGUCAGUGGUAAAAGCGUGUGGCUCAACCAUACCACGCCAUUGAAACUGUUAGUCUUGAGUGCACGCAGGGAUGCUGGAAUUCGUUGUGUAGCGGUGAAAUGCUUAGAUAUGACGAAGAACUCCGAUCGCGAAGGCAGGUGUCUGGAGUGCAACUGACGCUGAGGCUCGAAAGUGCGGGUAUCAAACAGGAUUAGAUACCCUGGUA
rnacentral:rRNA from 1 species